GACGAACGCUGGCGGCGUGCUUAACACAUGCAAGUCGAACGGAAAGGCCUGCUUUCCCUUGUGGAUUGCGGGUACUCGAGUGGCGAACGGGUGAGUAACACGUGAGUGAUCUGCCCCCAACUUGGGUAUAAGCCUGGGAAACUGGGUCUAAUUCCCGAUAGGACUGCAGGGUGGUGCCUGUGGUGGAAAACGAUCUUCUAGUGGUUGGGGAUGAGCUCGCGGCCUAUCAGCUUGUUGGUGGGGUAAUGGCCUACCAAGGCGGCGACGGGUAGCCGGCCUGAGAGGGUGGACGGCCGCAUUGGGACUGGGAUACGGCCCAGACUCCUGCGGGAGGCAGCAGUGGGGACGAUUGCGCACUGGGCGGAAGCCUGAUGCAGCGACGCCGCGUGGGGGAUGACGGCCUUCGGGUUGUAAACUCCUUUCGACCGCGAGGAAGCCACCUGGUUGGAAGGGUGGUGACGGUAGUGGUAGAAGAAGCACCGGCUAACUACGUG
rnacentral:rRNA from 1 species